GCUCCGCUCCUCUCGGCUCCCCAGGUCUGAUGGGCCCUACCGGCUCCUCAGCAUCUACAAUGAGCUGACCUCACUCAAAGAUAUAAAAGCAAAGAGGAAAAGAGCAACAUCUAAGGUCCCUGGAUAAUUUACAUUGUGAGCUCACAAGCCCAGG